GGAGGGGCUUGCGCCAUAUUAGUUAGUUGGUAGGGUAAUGGCCUACCAAGACGAUGAUGUGUAGCUGGACUGAGAGGUUGAACAGCCACAUUGGGACUGAGACACGGCCCAAACUCCUACGGGAGGCAGCAGUAGGGAAUUUUCGGCAAUGGAGGAAACUCUGACCGAGCAACGCCGCGUGAAUGACGAAGUACUUCGGUAUGUAAAGUUCUUUUAUCAAGGAAGAAAAGCAAAUGGCGAACCAUUUGUUUGCCGGUACUUGAUGAAUAAGCCCCGGCUAAUUAUGUGCCAGCAGCCGCGGUAAGACAUAAGGGGCAAGUGUUAUCCGGAAUUAUUGGGCGUAAAGGGUGCGUAGGCGGUCUAGUAAGUCAGUGGUGUAAUGGCAACGCUUAACGUUGUCCGGCUAUUGAAACUGCUAAACUUGAGUUAGAUAGAGGCGAGUGGAAUUCCAUGUGUAGCGGUAAAAUGCGUAAAUAUAUGGAGGAACACCAGAGGCGUAGGCGGCUCGCUGGGUCUUAACUGACGCUGAGGCACGAAAGCGUGGGGAGCAAACAGGAUUAGAUACCCUGGUAGUCCACGCCGUAAACGAUGAGUACUAAGUGUCGGGUUAAACCGGUACUGAAGUUAACACAUUAAGUACUCCGCCUGAGUAGUACGUACGCAAGUAUGAAACUUAAAGGAAUUGACGGGACUCCGCACAAGCGGUGGAUCAUGUUGUUUAAUUCGAAGAUACCCGAAAAACCUUACCAGGUCUUGACAUGUUUUUGCAAAAUGAUAGUAAUAUCGUGGAGGUUACCAGAAACACAGGUGGUGCAUGGUUGUCGUCAGCUCGUGUCGUGAGAUGUUAGGUUAAGUCCUAAAACGAGCGAAACCCUUAUCGUUAGUUGCCAGCACGUUAUGGUGGGGACUUUAACGAGACUGCCAAUGAUAAAUUGGAGGAAGGUGAGGAUCACGUCAAAUCAGCAUGCCCCUUAUGACCUGGGCUACAAACGUGAUACAAUGGCUGUUACAAAGGGUAGCUGAAACGCAAGUUCUUGGCCAAUCCCCAAAAACAGUCCCAGUCCGGAUUGAAGUCUGCAACUCGACUUCAU
rnacentral:rRNA from 2 species